rnacentral:rRNA from 1 species
AAUAGAUACCCGGGUAGUCCACGCCGUAAACGAUGGAUGCUAGCUGUUAUGAGUAUCGACCCGUUGUAGUAGCGAAGCUAACGCGUUAAGCAUCCCGCCUGUGGAGUACGAGCGCAAGCUUAAAACAUAAAGGAAUUGACGGGGACCCGCACAAGCGGUGGAGCGUGUUGUUUAAUUCGAUGAUAAGCGAAGAACCUUACCAAGGCUUGACAUCCCUGGAAUUUCUCCGAAAGGAGAGAGUGCCUUCGGGAAUCAGGUGACAGGUGAUGCAUGGCCGUCGUCAGCUCGUGUCGUGAGAUGUUUGGUUAAGUCCAUCAACGAGCGCAACCCUUGUAAAUAGUUGAAUUUUUUCUAUUUAGACUGCCUCGGUAACGGGGAGGAAGGAGGGGAUGAUGUCAGGUCAGUAUUUCCCUUACGCCUUGGGCUACAAACACGCUACAAUGGCCGGUACAAAGGGCAGCCAACCGCGAGGGGAGCAAAUCCCAUCAAAACCGGUCUCAGUUCGGAUAGCAGGCUGAAUUCGCUGCUUGAAGCCGGAAUCG